rnacentral:rRNA from 1 species
AUUGAACGCUGGCGGCAGGCCUAAACCAUGCAAGUCGAGCGAGCGGCGGACGGGUGAGUAAUGUAUGGGGACUGCCCGAUAGAGGGGGAUAACUACUGGAAACGGUAGCUAAUACCGCAUACUAUCGGAUAACCAAUCUGGGAUUAGCUAGUAGGUGAGGUAAUGGCUCACCUAGGCGACGAUCCCUAGCUGGUCUGAGAGGAUGGUCAGCCACAUUGUGACUGAGACACGGCCCAGACUCCUCCGGUGUCAGCAGUGGGGAAUAUUGCACAAUGGGCGCAAGCCUGAUGCAGCCAUGCCGCGUGUAUGAAGAAGGCCCUAGGGUUGUAAAGUACUUUCAGUCGGGAGGCGUUACUGACAGAAGAAGCACCGGCUAACUCCGUGCCAGCAGCCGCGGUAAUUC